UACCUACUCCCUCCGUCUCAUAUUAAGUGUCUCAAAUUUGUCUAAAUAUGGAUGUAUCUAUAGCUAAAAUGCGUCUGGGUACAUGUAAUAUUUCGACACUUAAUAUGUGACGGAGGGAGUACUUA
rfam:Brachypodium distachyon strain Bd21 chromosome 5, whole genome shotgun sequence.